rnacentral:rRNA from 1 species
UCCGGGGUGUAACUGACGCUAAUGCUCGAAAGUGCGGGUAUCAAACAGGAUUAGAUACCCUGGUAGUCCGCACAGUAAACGAUGGAUACCCGCAGUCGGCGACAUAUUGUCGGCUGCCAAGCGAAAGCAUUAAGUAUCCCACCUGGGGAGUACGCCGGCAACGGUGAAACUCAAAGGAAUUGACGGGGGCCCGCACAAGCGGAGGAACAUGUGGUUUAAUUCGAUGAUACGCGAGGAACCUUACCCGGGCUUGAAUUGCAGGCGACGGGCCGAGAGAUCGGCCUUUCUUCGGACGCCUGUGAAGGUGCUGCAUGGUUGUCGUCAGCUCGUGCCGUGAGGUGUCGGCUCAAGUGCCAUAACGAGCGCAACCCCUGUCUUCAGUUGCCAUCAGGCUAUGCUGGGCACUCUGGAGAUACUGCCAUCGCAAGAUGUGAGGAAGGUGGGGAUGACGUCAAAUCAGCACGGCCCUUACGUCCGGGGCUACACACGUGUUACAAUGGGGGAUACAGAGGGCCGCCACCGGGUGACCGGGCGCCAAUCCAUCAAAAUCCCUCUCAGUUCGGACUGGAGUCUGCAACCCGACUCCACGAAGCUGGAUCGC